UAGGGAAUCUUCGGCAAUGGGGGCAACCCUGACCGAGCAACGCCGCGUGAGUGAAGAAGGUUUUCGGAUCGUAAAGCUCUGUUGUAAGUCAAGAACGGGUGUGAGAGUGGAAAGUUCACACUGUGACGGUAGCUUACCAGAAAGGGACGGCUAACUACGUGCCAGCAGCCGCGGUAAUACGUAGGUCCCGAGCGUUGUCCGGAUUUAUUGGGCGUAAAGCGAGCGCAGGCGGUUUGAUAAGUCUGAAGUUAAAGGCUGUGGCUCAACCAUAGUUCGCUUUGGAAACUGUCAAACUUGAGUGCAGAAGGGGAGAGUGGAAUUCCAUGUGUAGCGGUGAAAUGCGUAGAUAUAUGGAGGAACACCGGUGGCGAAAAGCGGCUCUCUGGUCUGUAACUGACGCUGAGGCUCGAAAGCGUGGGGAGCGAACAGGAUUAGAUACCCUGGUAGUCCACGCCGUAAAACGAUGAGUGCUAGGUGUUGGAUCCUUUCCGGGAUUCAGUGCCGCAGCUAACGCAUUAAGCACUCCGC
rnacentral:rRNA from 1 species